GAUGAACGCUGGCGGCGUGCUUAAUACAUGCAAGUCGAACGAAGCACCUUGGACAGAAUCCUUCGGGAGGAAGACCAUUGUGACUGAGUGGCGGACGGGUGAGUAACGCGUGGGUAACCUGCCUUGUACAGGGGGAUAACAGUUGGAAACGACUGCUAAUACCGCAUAAGCGCACAGUAUCGCAUGGUACGGUGUGAAAAACUCCGGUGGUACAAGAUGGACCCGCGUCUGAUUAGCUGGUUGGUGAGGUAACGGCCCACCAAGGCGACGAUCAGUAGCCGACUUGAGAGAGUGAUCGGCCACAUUGGGACUGAGACACGGCCCAAACUCCUACGGGAGGCAGCAGUAGGGAAUAUUGCACAAUGGGGGAAACCCUGAUGCAGCGACGCCGCGUGAAGGAAGAAGUAUUUCGGUAUGUAAACUUCUAUCAGCAAGGAAGAAAAUGACGGUACU
rnacentral:rRNA from 1 species